rnacentral:rRNA from 1 species
UACGGAAGGCAGCAGUGGGAAUAUUGCACAAUGGGCGCAAGCCUGAUGCAGCCAUGCCGCGUGUAUGAAAAAGGCCUUCGGGUUGUAAAGUACUUUCAGUCGUGAGGAAGGUGUUAAGGUUAAUAACCUUAGCAAUUGACGUUAGCGACAGAAGAAGCACCGGCUAACUCCGUGCCAGCAGCCGCGGUAAUACGGAGGGUGCGAGCGUUAAUCGGAAUUACUGGGCGUAAAGGGCACGCAGGCGGUUAAUUAAGUUGGAUGUGAAAUCCCCGGGCUUAACCUGGGAAUGGCAUUCAAGACUGGUUAGCUAGAGUCUUGUAGAGGGGGUAGAAUUCCAUGUGUAGCGGUGAAAUGCGUAGAGAUGUGGAGGAAUACCGGUGGCGAAGGCGGCCCCGUGGACAAAGACUGACGCUCAUGUGCGAAAGCGUGGGGAGCAAACAGGGAUUAGAUACC